rnacentral:rRNA from 1 species
UAGGGAAUAUUGGACAAUGGGCGCAAGCCUGAUCCAGCCAUGCCGCGUGCAGGAAGAAGGCCCUAUGGGUCGUAAACUGCUUUUGUACGGGAAGAAACCUCACUACGUGUAGUGAGUUGACGGUACCGUGAGAAUAAGGAUCGGCUAACUUCGUGCCAGCAGCCGCGGUAAUACGAAGGAUCCAAGCGUUGUCCGGAUUUACUGGGUUUAAAGGGAGCGUAGGUGGCCUUAUAAGUCAGUGGUGAAAUCUCUGGGCUUAACCCAGAAAUUGCCAUUGAUACUGUAGGGCUUGAGUACAGUUGCUGUGGGCGGAAUAUGACAUGUAGCGGUGAAAUGCUUAGAUAUGUCAUAGAACACCGAUAGCGAAGGCAGCUCACUAGGUCUGGAUUGACGCUCAGGGACGAAAGCUUGGGGAGCAAAC